GGGGUGCGUAAUAGAUUUACCUCCACGUGGUGCACCCUGGGCAACGCAUACUCAUUCGGCAAAAAAGUCUAU
rfam:Hymenolepis nana genome assembly, scaffold: HNAJ_scaffold0000537